UUAUUAGUUGUCUCUCUGCCUCAAUAAUGGCCUUAUUCUCUCCAAAGUCAGAGCUUUUGUUCUUGUUCUUCUUCAUCUUUUCUCUAUCCUUCAAUCUUAGCCAUUCAAAUAAAUAUGAUGAUGUUCAUGAUCUCCUUCCUUUUUACAAUCUUCCAAAGGGUCUUCUCCCAAACAAUGUGAAAUCAUACACUGUUUCCACCAAAGACGGUUCUUUUACUGUACAACUCACACAUCCAUGUUAUGUACAGUUUCAAGAUCAGCUUGUUUACUACCAAAAAGAUAUUAAAGGGAAGUUGAGUUAUGGAUCUGUCUCUGAUGUCACUGGAAUACAAGCAAAGAAGUUGUUUGUAUGGGUAUCUGUAACUGGGAUUAGUGUUGAUGAUCAGUCUCAGAUGAUUGAAUUUCAUGUUGGAUUUUUAUCUGAAAAAUUACCAGCUAAGGAGUUUGAGAAUAUUCCUACUUGUACUAAUAAGAUUAAGGGUUGCCAACACUCUGCCUUUGCUUCAAUAUGACCAGCACGUCAUUGUGAACAGUAGAAUGGAAGCGUUCAUUUGCAGUGACAAUUAAGUUGUAUAUCUGUAAUAAGAUAUGGAUUUCCCGAUCAUAAGGAAAUGCUGUCAUUGUUUUAUCUUAUCACCCCUUUCUCGUUUGAGUAUACAACACAUAAGAAUUUGAUGCUGUCGACAACUUUUCUUCUCUGGACAAAUGGAGCUCUGAGGUACUGUUAUGAGUCUUGUGAAGAAUGAAGUUGACUUGUCUUGAUAAAUAGUCGGUAUUUGGAGUCUAUGAAAUUCUUCCUUAAUAGAAACAGAAGAAGGGACUUCUAUCUUUCGUGGCUGUUUUUCUUGGUUCAGUAUUUCCUUCUCAUUUCUCACACAUCUAUGAACAAACGAAAUAGGACAUUUCGAUUUAUAAUAAUCUUUUGAUCACUGAUCACAAAUCUAUAAACAAA
rnacentral:misc_RNA from 1 species